GCCUCCGUGGUGUAAUGGUAACAUGCCUCAUUAUGAUGAACUUUUCGUUAAGGGGUAGUGAGGGGUCGCGCGGAUCGAACGCGCUGGAGGUA